ACCUCCUUCGGGAGGGGAUUAGUGGCGAACGGGUGAGUAACACGUGGGCAAUCUGCCCUGCACUCUGGGACAAGCCCUGGAAACGGGGUCUAAUACCGGAUACGACAUCCUCGGGCAUCCGAUGGAUGUGGAAAGCUCCGGCGGUGCAGGAUGAGCCCGCGGCCUAUCAGCUUGUUGGUGAGGUAACGGCUCACCAAGGCGACGACGGGUAGCCGGCCUGAGAGGGCGACCGGCCACACUGGGACUGAGACACGGCCCAGACUCCUACGGGAGGCAGCAGUGGGGAAUAUUGCACAAUGGGCGCAAGCCUGAUGCAGCGACGCCGCGUGAGGGAUGACGGCCUUCGGGUUGUAAACCUCUUUCAGCAGGGAAGAAGCGCAAGUGACGGUACCUGCAGAAGAAGCGCCGGCUAACUACGUGCCAGCAGCCGCGGUAAUACGUAGGGCGCGAGCGUUGUCCGGAAUUAUUGGGCGUAAAGAGCUCGUAGGCGGCUUGUCGCGUCGGUUGUGAAAGCCCGGGGCUUAACCCCGGGUCUGCAGUCGAUACGGGCAGGCUAGAGUUCGGUAGGGGAGAUCGGAAUUCCUGGUGUAGCGGUGAAAUGCGCAGAUAUCAGGAGGAACACCGGUGGCGAAGGCGGAUCUCUGGGCCGAUACUGACGCUGAGGAGCGAAAGCGUGGGGAGCGAACAGGAUUAGAUACCCUGGUAGUCCACGCCGUAAACGGUGGGCACUAGGUGUGGGCAACAUUCCACGUUGUCCGUGCCGCAGCUAACGCAUUAAGUGCCCCCGCCUGGGGAGUACGGCCGCAAGGCUAAAACUCAAAGGAAUUGACGGGGGGCCCGCACAAGCGGCGGAGCAUGUGGCUUAA
rnacentral:rRNA from 1 species